rnacentral:rRNA from 1 species
UGGGGAAUUUUGGACAAUGGGCGAAAGCCUGAUCCAGCAAUGCCGCGUGUGUGAAGAAGGCCUUCGGGUUGUAAAGCACUUUUGUCCGGAAAGAAAUCCUUGGCUCUAAUACAGUCGGGGGAUGACGGUACCGGAAGAAUAAGCACCGGCUAACUACGUGCCAGCAGCCGCGGUAAUACGUAGGGUGCAAGCGUUAAUCGGAAUUACUGGGCGUAAAGCGUGCGCAGGCGGUUUGCUAAGACCGAUGUGAAAUCCCCGGGCUCAACCUGGGAACUGCAUUGGUGACUGGCAGGCUAGAGUAUGGCAGAGGGGGGUAGAAUUCCACGUGUAGCAGUGAAAUGCGUAGAGAUGUGGAGGAAUACCGAUGGCGAAGGCAGCCCCCUGGGCAAUACUGACGCUCAUGCACGAAAGCGUGGGGAGCAAACAGGAUUAGAUACCCUGGUAGUCCACGCCCUAAACGAUGUCAACUAGUUGUUGGGGAUUCAUUUCCUUAGUAACGUAGCUAACGCGUGAAGUUGACCGCCUGGGGAGUA